GUCAGCAACCUCCAAGCUCAGCGAAUUUGCUGGAAAAGUUUGAACAACCAUUCUUCCUCCCUCAGCCUACCCGAGCGCUCGGUCGAAGCCACGGCUCCCAACUUUCUCGGGAGGCCGCGUGGGCGUGCGUGCGUUUCCCCUCCGGCUGCUCCAGGUCUCCACUUAAUAAGGCCGCUGUUCCGCUCCUGUCCAAACCGACAAGCUCUGUGAGUAAUGAACAUCUCCCAGGCAGCCAUCCAACAACAGCAGGUUUCAGUGUCAGUCCCUGUCAGCAGCCAAUGACUGUGAUCUGCUGCUUUAUUACACCCAUAAGGUGUGCGCGUGUGCACGCCGUAAUGAGGCAGCGGCCCAAUGAAGACGUCAUGUUCCUCCCAGAGGCUCUGCUGGAUAAAGAGCGGCCGCGUGACAAUGUUUGCGUUUGGACAACCCUCCCCCCCACCACACCACACCACCACGCCGGUGACUUCAGGUGUGAUGGAGAAGGGCCAAUAAAAAGGCGGCUCAGCGCGCCGCGUGCAGCCGGCGGCUCUCCAAUCCGCAGCCGAAGACCCGCUGUGGUUUGAUUCCUGGCUGCCAUACUCUCCGCUGCGAUCUGUGUGUGUGUGUGUGUGUCUGAACCUUCCUGCCCUUCAGCGAGCGAGAGGAAAUAGACACGCGGGAGGUCGCCCCCCACCGCUGCUCCCCCUUCACGAGUGAAAAAACCGGACCGGCGGCGUCUCUGUUCUUGCCCAAAGCGACCUCUGAUAUUCAGUCACCCUGGUGGAAUGUGAACUGCAGCACCUCAUUACAGAAAAGGAACGGACCUGCAGCCGGACCUCUGCGGUGAGAGCUUGUGUCCUGCACAGCUGCGCCGGUAUCGUCUAAUUGAACUCCGGAGUCCGCGUUUAGGAAGCGAUUUUUUAUUUUUUUAAAUAAAUUUGUCUCUACUGUCACGUCGUCCCUCGGGACGGCGACGAGAUGAUUAAUCAUUUCCUGCCGAGGACAUAGCAACUUGCUUGGGGGAAGAGAAAAAUCUGGCUUGGUGGAGCCCUCGGGGGAGG
ensembl:lncRNA